rnacentral:rRNA from 1 species
GACGAACGCUGGCGGCGUGCUUAACACAUGCAAGUCGAACGGAAAGGCCUGCUUUCCCUUGUGGAUUGCGGGUACUCGAGUGGCGAACGGGUGGGUAACACGUGAGUGAUCUGCCCCCAACUUGGGUAUAAGCCUGGGAAACUGGGUCUAAUUCCCGAUAGGACUGCAGGGUGGUGCCUGUGGUGGAAAACGAUUUUCUAGUGGUUGGGGAUGAGCUCGCGGCCUAUCAGCUUGUUGGUGGGGUAAUGGCCUACCAAGGCGGCGACGGGUAGCCGGCCUGAGAGGGUGGACGGCCACAUUGGGACUGAGAUACGGCCCAGACUCCUACGGGAGGCAGCAGUGGGGAAUAUUGCACAAUGGGCGGAAGCCUGAUGCAGCGACGCCGCGUGGGGGAUGACGGCCUUCGGGUUGUAAACUCCUUUCGACCGCGAGGAAGCCACCUGGUUGGAAGGGUGGUGACGGUAGUGGUAGAAGAAGCACCGGCUAACUACGU